rnacentral:rRNA from 1 species
CCGCCAGAAAACUACGAGCGAAAAGCUUAAAACUCAAAGGACUUGGCGGUGCUCCAUACCGACUUAGAGGAGCCUGUCCUAUAAUCGAUACCCCACGCUAAACCUCACCAGUCUUUGCUAAAUCAGCCUAUAUACCGCCGUCGUCAACCUACCUCAUGAGAGAAAAACAGUAAGUACAAAAGUUUAGAANCUAGAACGUCAGGUCAAGGUGUAGCUAAUAGAAUGGAAGAGAUGGGCUACAUUUUU